GCGGAAGUGGCGGAACUGGCAGACGCGCAAGCCUCAGGAGCUUGUGCCUCACAAGGGCGUGGGGGUUCGAAUCCCCCCUUCCGCACCA
rnacentral:tRNA from 1 species